UUCAAUGUUCCUACUUCACUCUUGUUUGC
rnacentral:piRNA from 1 species